rnacentral:rRNA from 1 species
AGAACGUCGUGAGACAGUUCGGUCCCUAUCUGUUGUGGGCGGAGGAUAUUUGCGAGGAGCUGUCCCUAGUACGAGAGGACCGGGAUGGACGAACCGAUGGUGUUCCAGUUGUCACGCCAGUGGCACCGCUGGGUAGCUAAGUUCGGAAGGGAUAACCGCUGAAAGCAUCUAAGUGGGAAGCCCACCUCAAGAUAAGAUAUCCCUCCUGAUGGAGACAUCAGGACUGAAGACCCCUUGUAGACUACAAGGUUGAUAGGUCAGAUGUGUAAGCACAGUAAUGUGUUCAGCUAACUGAUACUAAUCGGUCGUGAGGCUUGACCAUA